rnacentral:rRNA from 1 species
CCUACGGGGUGCAGCAGUGAGGAAUAUUGGUCAAUGGGCGCGAGCCUGAACCAGCCAAGUCGCGUGAGGGAAGACGGUCCUAUGGAUUGUAAACCUCUUUUGUCGGGGAGCAAAAGACGCCACGCGUGGCGUUCCGAGAGUACCCGAAGAAAAAGCAUCGGCUAACUCCGUGCCAGCAGCCGCGGUAAUACGGAGGAUGCGAGCGUUAUCCGGAUUUACUGGGUGUAAAGGGCGUGUAGCCGGGCUGACAAGUCAGAUGUGAAAUUCCGGGGCUCAACCCCGGACCUGCAUUUGAAACUGUUGGUCUUGAGUAUCGGAGAGGCAGGCGGAAUUCCUAGUGUAGCGGUGAAAUGCGUAGAUAUUAGGAGGAACACCAGUGGCGAAGGCGGCCUGCUGGACGACAACUGACGGUGAGGCGCGAAAGCGUGGGGAGCAAACAGGAUUAGAUACCCGGGUAGUC